rnacentral:tRNA from 1 species
UUGGGCUGUAGCUUGGUGGUAGAGUGCUUGCUUAGCAUGUGUGAGGUCCUGGGUUCGAUCCCCAGCACAAA